GAUAUAUGAAUUUUGAGUUAACUCAAUUCAUAAUUCAAUUAACUCAAAAUUCAUAUAUCUUGAGGCUUAAGCAAAUAAUGUUCAAAAAAAAUAUAUUCCCAGACACUACUUUUAUGAAAUAGGAGUAUUUAUACCAACACCUGAAUAGCCAAAAGAUCCAAAAUGAAACUAUUGUUGAACUACUAAGACUAAGACCAACAUAGGACUUUGGCAAACUGAAAAGAGCUCCUAAUCAAACAAGCUGAAUCCCAUGUCGUCAUCACUCUCCUCCUCAGGUUCUUCCUUCUUCUUCUCUUCGGCUGCAGGAGCUGCAGCUGCAGCCGCACCACCACCACCACCA
rnacentral:misc_RNA from 1 species